UAUGAGAUGACAUGCUUCUUUAUAUCCCCAUAUGGAUCAGGCUGCUAUGGAAUGUAAGGAAGUGUGUGGUUUCAGG
rfam:Ficedula albicollis isolate OC2 chromosome 3, whole genome shotgun sequence.